AGCGAACGCUGGCGGCAGGCCUAAUACAUGCAAGUCGAGCGCACCUUCGGGGGAGCGGCGGACGGGUGAGUAACGCGUGGGAACGUGCCCAUUGGUACGGGAUAACUGAGGGGAACUUCAGCUAAAACCGUAUGUGCCCCACGGGGGGAAGAUUUAUCGCCAUUGGAGCGGCCCGCGUUGGAUUAGCUAGGUGGUGGGGUAAAGGCUCACCAAGGCUACGAUCCAUAGCUGGUCUGAGAGGAUGAUCAGCCACACUGGGACGGAGACACGGCCCAGACUCCUACGGGAGGCAGCAGUAGGGAAUCUUGCGCAAUGGGCGAAAGCCUGACGCAGCCAUGCCGCGUGAAUGAUGAAGGUCUUAGGAUUGUAAAAUUCUUUCACCGGGGAAGAUAAUGACGGUACCCGGAGAAGAAGCCCCGGCUAACUUCGUGCCAGCCGCCGCGGUAAAAC
rnacentral:rRNA from 1 species